rnacentral:rRNA from 1 species
AGAGUUUGAUCAUGGCUCAGGACGAACGCUGGCGGCGCGCUUAACACAUGCAAGUCGAGCGAGAACCGAGGCUUCGGCCUCGGGGACAGCGGCGAACGGGUGAGUAACACGUGGAUAACCUGCCCUCGGCACCGGGAUAGCCCGGGGAAACCCGGAUUAAUACCGGAUGGCCCUUCCGACUCUCGAGUCGGUCGGAAAAGGUAGCUUCGGCCUCCGGCCGAGGAUGGGUCCGCGGCGGAUUAGCUUGUUGGUGGGGUAAUGGCCCACCAAGGCUCCGAUCCGUAGCUGGUCUGAGAGGACGAUCAGCCACACUGGGACUGAGACACGGCCCAGACUCCUACGGGAGGCAGCAGUGGGGAAUCUUGCGCAAUGGGCGAAAGCCUGACGCAGCGACGCCGCGUGAGGGAAGAAGGCCUUCGGGUUGUAAACCUCUUUCAGCAGGGACGAAGCUACUCGGGUUAACAGCCCAGAGGGUGACGGUACCUGUAGAAGAAGCCCCGGCUAACUACGUGCCAGCAGCCGCGGUAAUACGUAGGGGGCAAGCGUUGUCCGGAUUUACUGGGCGUAAAGAGCGUGUAGGCGGCCAAGCAGGUCUGUUGUGAAAACUGGAGGCUCAACCUCCAGACGUCGACAGAAACCGCUUGGCUAGAGUCCGGAAGAGGAGAGUGGAAUUCCUGGUGUAGCGGUGAAUGCGCAGAUAUCAGGAAGAACACCAAUGGCGAAGGCAGCUCUCUGGGACGGUACUGACGCUGAGACGCGAAAGCGUGGGGAGCGAACAGGAUUAGAUACCCUGGUAGUCCACGCCGUAAACGAUGGGUGCUAGGUGUGGGGGGUGUCGACUCCCCCCGUGCCGCAGCUAACGCAUUAAGCACCCCGCCUGGGGAGUACGGCCGCAAGGCUAAAACUCAAAGGAAUUGACGGGGACCCGCACAAGCAGCGGAGCAUGUUGUUUAAUUCGAUGCAACGCGAAGAACCUUACCAGGGCUUGACAUGCACUGGAAAACCGUAGAAAAUACGGUCCUCCUUCGGAUCAGUGCACCAGGUGGUGCAUGCUGUCGUCAGCUCGUGUCGUGAGAAUGUUUGGGUAGUCCCGCAACGAGCGCAACCCCUGUUUCCAUGUGCAGCGAGUAUUGUCAGGACCUCAUGGCAUACUGGCCGGGUACAAUCCGAAGAGAAAGGGUUGUGGAUAGUAUAGUUCAUAGAGU